rnacentral:lncRNA from 1 species
ACCUGGCCUCUUGGUGAAAUUAUAUUUUGAUCGGAUCACUUAACUAUUCGAGCUGACCCAUGUCAGCUAAGUAAAUCAGUGUGACUGAUUUAGGUGCUCCUAGACCAGCCCUUUUAAUGGUCUCCCUUAAGCUGACUUGGUGAAGCCAGUGGGAGGAUCAUGAUAAGCUGGUUCAUCUGACCUCAUCCUUUAAAUCAUUUAAAUCCUCUAAAAUUAUUAGGUCCUUAAAAUUAUAAAGUUAUGAAGAUAACUGAGUCAUAGCCUCC